ensembl:lncRNA
GAAGACCAGACAGGUACAAAUGAACUCGUCAAAGCUCAGGUAAGAACAUAUCUCAGUAUGUAAAAACGGUGGCCUAUUCCUUUAACAGAUGAGUUUUGAGGUUGGAUUUGAAGUGUGGGGAGAGAGUUCCAGAUCGUGAUCCUGAGCAAAAUCCUACGUUUUUCAAAAUCAUUUUAAAUCUAAACCCUGAUGCAUCUGUAAGAUCGUUUCGUUACGGUUUUCUGUGUUUGCAGUUGGCAAACUUCGAUGCGAUUCCUGACGUGGGUUCGUAACGAUGACAAAAGCGUGUGGUUGGCUGGAGCAGAGUCCGAAAAUCUGUGUCUGUCGUUUCUGUACUCGCUGGGAUCAAAGUAUAACCUGAGCGAUACAUUUGGAAACCUGCGUCUGGAAACUUCCGAGGAGGAGAAGGGAAACCUGAUCACCGCCGCCACGAUGGACAAUGACUUCAUCGUGUGUGGAGACGUCAAAGGGAACAUGUGGUUUAACCUGCCUCCAGACCGGUCCUCGUGGAGCAGCAGGAAACCUGUCCACACUGACAGGAUCACCAGCCUGAGACUGACUAAAAGCAUCUUCGUCUCGGCUUCUCUCGACAAGACCGUCAAAUCUGGGACCGAGGAACCAGGAAACAGGUGGGGAUGUUCGUGUGCCGCGCUCCGGUGGUCCUCCUGGAAGUGGCUCCUGAAGACGACACUAAACUGGUUUGCGGCGACAAACUGGGAAACGUCUACUUCCUCUCCUGGACCGGAUAAUGCGCCUCAUAUUACGCAGUACAAUCGCACUUAUCAAAACCGCUAAAUAAUAAUAUGUUUACACCGUUAAAGGUUAUGCAGAAUGAACGUAAUUUAACCAAGUGGUUUCCUGAUCAAAAACAAACCAGGAGAUGUGUUUUGUUUUUCACUCAUUCAUGUUUACACAAUCCUGAAUUUUCUGCUUCUCAAUAGAAAAAGUCCAAACACCUCAGCACUCAGAUUGCUUUCUGAAAUGAAUAACGGGAGGAGAAGACGAUAAAGUCAUUUGUAAUUAUGUGCAGCCGCAAUAAGCGCACAUGUAUUAGGCCUGAGAGAACUUUGUCCAUGUGACCAAAAAAUAAAAUGUUCACAAGCAGCGAGUUAAAGCAGUACUAAGUAACGUGUUACCUAAAUAAAUCCUUUCCGUAGUCCCUCUGGGGGUAUACAAGUGUUAAUGGGAUGAUUGGAGGGUCUUUCAUCUCCCCCUGGUGUCUCUGGCCAGAAAACCAUGCUUGCAACUUGACUGCCACCGGGACGGAGCAACCAAUACACACACUAAUGGAAUCAGGAAGAAGAAGCUAACAGGCUAACAGGCAAAGCUAACUGCGGGCUAGCGCCACUUUAAACAGUAUUUACAGCCAUGUUUGAGUGAAAAAAAUUAUUUCCAUUGUAUAACUGGAUGUACAACAUCCCUCUCUCCCUUCGCCUUUUCUGUCAGCGUAGUAUUUACUCUCCAAGACAUUUAAUAAGUUAAAAAAUCGUAACUUGCUACGACACCUGCAGUUGCGCUUAUGGCCUCCAGGGGCAAGAGUUACUUAGUACUGCUUUAAGAUAAGACAGAUAAAUUCACUUGUUUACGUUCAGCUCUCAGAAACACUCAGGGUGUGCAGGAUAGGCAGGAAAUGUGCAAACAAUGAAAUAGUAAAUACUGACAAUGACUACUAAAAACUUUAAGGGGCACAAAGUAUAAACAGUAAAAUAUAAAAAUAAACACGCUAUGAUAAAAAAUGUUAGUAUUAUCAGUGCAGGUUUAUAAACAUAGUGCAAGUGGUUGAUAAAGUGACGAUUACUUCACAGGGAGCUGCACAGACAGUUUUAGGCACAAAAGCAGCAUUUCGACAAGUAAACAAAAUGUCAAAUUUAUGACCGAGAUGUGCAGACCACACCCAUUUAUGCAGUUCAUCAGCAAAAAAAGUCAAUUUGGGGGUUAGUUAAUCAGAGCGCUGUGCAACUCUCCCACUUUCAAUGUUUACUAAAAGGGUAGUUGGGACCCAAUGGGGGUAAAGAAAAGAAGAAAAUGUAAUGUUUAUUAUACUUUAUAUGUAUGAAAGUCUUAUAUAGCGCUUUUCCAGACGCUUAAAUUGCAGAAUAAACAAAUAAACAUCGUGUUUAAAUGUUUUGCUGCUUGAAAUGAGAGACGGUCACUUUUUACAGAGGGGAUCCUGAGUCGCUGCACGGUCAUUCUGGGGGUCUCCGGGUAACAUUUUUUAUUUUUUAGAGACGUUUUGGGAACGUUUUUCUAAGUUAUGGAACGUUACCUGGAGGUUAUUUUUGGUUGUUUCAUGGAAAGUUUUCUAUACAUUUAUACGUUUUUUUUUUGUUUUUUUUAAUUUAAAACGACUUCUUAGAGCGUUCUCCUGACGUUAGUUUAAUAACAACCUUCCACGAAAUGUUUUACUAACGUUAUAUACUGUAUAUGCUGCAACCUUUGGAAGACGUUUAUCUAACAUUUAGGUUGGGUUACUUUAACGUUCUUCUCGCAGCCAAUAAGUUUUUCCAAUUAAAAAAUGUGACAAUCACACUACGUAAAAUCUGUCAUAUGCACUUUAACUUGCUUUACGCACCACCUAAUGACUAAAAGCUUGACUAAAAGCACUUUCAAAAAGCCUGAAUGAUGUGCAGGACCUUUUAAAGGAACAAUCGAUAGCUUUACAUUGAAGAAUCCACUAAUAUCUACAGUAUGUGCCUAUGUUUUAGCCAUUUGCUGCUUUGUUUAGCACUGUGGGGGAGAUGAUGCUUCCUUCUUUGCACUAAAAUAGGUUUGAUGAUAUUAUUUACUAACUUUACCAAAGAAAAAUACAGAUUAUUUACGUAAGUGCCUGUAGCAAAUGUGUCUUUGGUAAAAAAAAAAGAAAAAAAAAAAGGAGGAAACUGAGUUCGUUUUGUUUUCAUUUUGAAGGAUAAAGAUUAUUUUUUGUGAUUUUUGCUUGCAAGGUGCUGGAGUAUAAAUCUGUAUGAACUGUAUUGCUCUUGCUGGAUUAUUACUGCUACUGUUUACAGCCUGAAACACUAUAAUUUCAUUGCUUUAUGGCUCUGUUAUCUGCACUGAAUGGCUUUGUCUGGGUCAUAUUUUAAUCAACUAAAUGCCAUAAAUCAUACUGCUUAAAAUAAACAGCAAAAUGAAACAAACUGACUCGUGUUCUUGUAUUUACUGAAGUAGUAAAUAGUAACUUUGUACAAUACGAGAC